GAUAUUUGGGACGCAACUGCAGAGUAGUCAUCCCGUCGUGUGUUGUCCUGAGGAUCCGGCUUGAGUUUCCAGACCCGACCGGACAGUAUCUUGGCUUCCGCCCGCCCCUUGGCUGAACCUGGACUUGUGUCAAGCCACUACUUCCUCUUUUGAGGGACAAAGUCUGAGGCAAGAUCCUUGAGGACUGGUAUUCUCUGAAGCUCCUCAAGAAAUGAUGCGAGGUCCGGGAACCUCUUCAAACACCAGUGCAAUCAAAUCGGCUGUCCUGUAGAGGUUGUUGCUUGCUCGCGUUCAGCAUUUUCAUUGUAAUGAAUCACUGACAGAAACAACCUACAAUACAAAAAGGGAGACACAAGGGAUGUCUUCAUGUGCUCAACUCUUCACACAGCACAUGCAGGUGACAGUCCAGAGGAGAGUCAAAGGUGCAGAUGGUCGCUGGGAAUUGAAGGAUGUUCCUGUUCCCCGAGCUGUCAAAGACUACAACCGGUGCAAAAGUGGGGUCUAGCUCCACAGCCAGAACCAUACAAACUCCUCCUCCAAGUGGAACACACCAUAGGCCAGUGCACAUCAGCAUGGACCGCACCAUUGGUCGGCGAAAGUGCAAGUAUUGUCACAAAAAGACCCCAUUGAAAUGUGCCUCAUAUGAUGUGCCCUUGUGCUUUAUUCCCAAGAGAGACUGUUAUAAUGACUGGCAUGUUGCAAAUAACUUGUAGGAUGUCACUCAUAAAGAUAGUUUGUAAAUAAUGUAAAUAUGUGUGUUUUCUAAAGUUUGCUGUGUUGCAAGAGUUUUCCACAAUAACACUUGUUUCUACUCAUUUUUUACACAGAACGGUAAUGCACGAAGCUAGAAAAAUGCACUUUAAAUGUGUUUAUGCUUCUAUAAAUCUAUUUCAGCAAUACUGAUAGUGAUUCUGAGUAUUGUAUAGCGUAGCUCUAAUUGUUACCUUUUCAUAGAGCCAAGAAUGAUGCAUGUACGUCAAAGCGUUCAGGAGUAGCAGCCUUUUUAUCCCAGGUAUGUCAUCAUGGUUACCAAGGGUCCUUUUGGAGUCUCCAAA